UUGAGGCAAGGGAUGUCACCUGCACAGGGCAGCUUACUCAAAGGACACCGGUGCAUUGUCGAAAGCAGGGUCCCCCAUCCCCCACUGCCAGUCUUGUGGUUCCAGGUGUUCUUAAAAGACCUGUCCACCUGCAUUGGGUCUGCUCCAGUCGUGAGAGGGUUGGGUCUGUGGCUGGGGAGCUGGCGGAAGACCAGGCAAGAGCUGCUGGGAUGAGGGUGGGGGCAGGGAACUCAGGAUGGGGCAGCUGCCUCUGGAAGCAGCCAAGACAUCCCUGGCUGCCGCAGGGGUGGUAGGAGGAUUAGGUGACAGUCCCCUAACCGAGCCCGGAACUAACACCCUCCUCCCCCUCACUCGAGCACCCUGGCUUGUCCCCCGCCAAGCCUGCCAAAGCUCAGAAUAACCCUGGGGGACCAGACAGCAGGAUGGCAGGGGCUCUGCUCAGCGCCCUGUUCCUCUUGCAGCUCCUCGCCCCAGGCAGAGGUUCCGGGAAGAAUGAGGAGCUGCGUCUUUACCACCAUCUCUUCGACAACUAUGACCCAGGACGCCGGCCUGUGCGGGAGCCCAAGGACACUGUCACCGUCUCCCUCAAAGUCACCCUGACCAACCUCAUCUCACUGAACGAGAAAGAGGAGACCCUGACCACCAGCGUCUGGAUUGGAAUCGACUGGUCUGAUUACCGGCUCAACUACAGCAAGGCCGACUUUGGGGGCAUAGAAACGCUGCGGGUCCCUUCAGAACUCGUGUGGCUGCCAGAGAUUGUGCUGGAAAACAACAUCGACGGCCAGUUCGGCGUGGCCUAUGAAGCCAACGUGCUGGUCUCCGAGGGCGGCUACGUGAGCUGGUUGCCGCCGGCCAUCUACCGCAGCACCUGUGCCGUGGAGGUCACCUACUUCCCCUUCGACUGGCAGAACUGCUCGCUGGUUUUCCGCUCCCAGACGUACAGUGCCGAAGAGGUGGAGUUCGUCUUUGCUGUUGACGACCUGGGCGAGACCAUCAGCAAGCUUGAAAUCGACACCGAGGCCUAUACUGAGAACGGCGAGUGGGCCAUCGACUUCUGCCCUGGGGUGAUCCGCCGCCACGAUGGUUCCUCCCCUGAUGACCCGGGGGACAGCGACGUCACCUACACGCUCAUCAUUCGCCGGAAGCCCCUCUUCUACGUCAUUAACAUCAUCGUGCCCUGCGUGCUCAUCUCGGGCCUGGUGCUGCUCGCAUACUUCCUGCCGGCGCAGGCCGGUGGCCAGAAAUGUACCGUCUCCAUCAACGUCCUGCUCGCCCAGACCGUCUUCUUGUUCCUAAUUGCCCAGAAAAUCCCGGAGACAUCUCUGAGCGUGCCGCUGCUGGGCAGGGGAAGUGAGUGGGGAGGCUGCGACGUCACGAACUCCGGGCCCCUCAGGUACCUCAUUUUCGUCAUGGUGGUUGCCACGCUCAUUGUCAUGAAUUGUGUCAUCGUGCUCAACGUGUCUUUACGGACGCCCACCACUCACACUGUGUCCCCGCGGCUGCGCCACGUCUUGCUGGAGCUGCUGCCCCCUCUCCUGGGCUUCGGGGAGCCUCCGUCUCCUGAAGCUCCCAGGGCUGCCUCGCCCCCAAGGCGGGCGUCAUCUCUGGGCCUCCUACUCCGCGCUGAGGAGCUGAUACUGAAAAAGCCGCGGAGCGAGCUCGUGUUUGAGGGGCAGAGGCACCGGCACGGGACCUGGACCGCUGCCCUCUGCCAGAGCCUGGGCGCCGCCGCCCCUGAGAUCCGCUGCUGUGUGGAUGCCGUGAACUUCGUGGCUGAGAGCACGCGAGAGCAGGAGGCCACGGGCGAGGAGGUGUCAGACUGGGUGCGCAUGGGGAAGGCCCUGGACAACAUCUGCUUCUGGGCGGCUCUGGUGCUCUUCCUCGUCGGUUCCAGCCUCAUCUUCCUCGGGGCCUACUUCAACCAAGUGCCCAAACUGCCCUACCCGCCGUGUAUGUAGCCCUGAGGCCCCGCGGUAGGCACUGACAGACGUUCCCACUCAUCUCCAGGAGGAAAGAUUUUGAAAAACGAGCUGCUCCCACUGCUGAUGCUAAAUCUGUACUCUGUGAGCUUCGGGAGAGGAGUCUUGUGUGCACGUGUAUGUAGGUCUGGCCAUCGGCAGGGAUCAGGAGGAGCCGGCAGAGGGUUCAGGCAACCUCUUGCAUGUGAAUCUUGCAAAAAGUAAGAACUGCCCUCACUUCGGUCUUGCGGACCUCCCAGUUUUCCUUGGGCCCCAGCCCCAUGUGAUCCUCUAGCCCUGUGAGUAUCUACGAGAGCUUUAUUUGUUGCCAAACAGAAGAGACCCUUUGUAGGAUUUGCACCCGGAAAGCUUGGAGCCGGGAAGGCGAGGGAAGCUGGAGUGGGCGGGGAUCAAAGGGCCUCAGUGCAGAGACACCCCCCCCACCCCCCGUUUAAGGCUGAGGAUGCCCCGCCCUCCCUCGGUCAACUCCUCCUUUUCUUGGCUGGCCCCGCCCAUCCAGCCCGCUCACCGCAGAUCCCCCCAGCUGCCCCCUUGAUCCCCACUCUGCUGGCUGGCCUGGGCCCCGGGAGGUGGGGGUGGUGAGAGAAAAUAAAACGGGGCCUGAAGUUGGUGGGAGCUGGUUGAAUUGUCUUUAUUAACAAACAGGUAUCCAAGGCCACUACAUUGAGGAGAGAAGGGACCGGGAGGGGGCGGGGCUACUUGCCGCUCACACUAUAUACAGAUGCAAGCACGGGCCGGGCCGUGUGGAGGGUGAGAGCGCCCCGCUCCCUCUCUCCACCGGGGAAGGGGCAGAGGCCAGAAGAGAUGGGGGUCGGAAAGGGGUCAAUGUUUUGGCUGUCGGGGUCCUCCCUCCAUUCCCUGGGGUUUGAGGGGAGGGGAAUCAUUAAAGUGCUUUCAGAAAA